AUGUUAGCAAAUUUGGAAAACUCAGCAGUGGCCACAGGACUGGAACAGGUCAGUUUUCAUUCCAAUCCAAAAGAAGGCAAUGCCAAAGAAUGCUCAAACUACUGCACAACUGCACACAUCUCACACGCUAGUAAAGUAAUGCUCAAAAUUCUUCAAGCCAGGCUUCAGCAGUACGUGAACCGUGAACUUCCAGAUGUUCAAGCUGGUUUUAGAAAAGGCAGAGGAACCAGAGAUCAAAUUGCCAACAUCCGCUGGAUCGUGGAAAAAGCAAGAGAGUUCCAAAAAAACAUCUACUUGUGCUUUAUUGACUAUCCCAAAGCCUUUGACUGUAUGGAUCACAAUAAACUGUGGAAAAUUCUGAAAGAGAUGAGAAUACCAGACCACCUGACCUGCCUCUUGAGAAAUCUGUAUGCAGGUCAAGAAGCAACAGUUAGAACUGGACACGGAACAACAGACUGGUUCCAAAUAGGAAAAGGAGUAUGUCUAGGCUGUAUAUUGUCACCCUGCUUAUUUAACUUAUAUACAGAGUACAUCAUGAGAAACGUUGGGCUAGAGGAAGCACAAGCUGGAAUCAAGACUGCCAGGAGAAAUAUCAAUAACCUCAGAUAUGCAGAUGACACCACCCUUAUGGCAGAAAGAAAAGAAGAACUAAAAAGCCUCUUGAUGAAAGUGAAACAGGAGAGUGAAAAAGUUGGCUUAAAGCUCAACAUUCAGAAAACGAAGAUCAUGGCAUCUCGUCCCAUCACUUCAUGGGAAAUAGAUGGGGAAACAGUGGAAAUUGUGGCUGACUUUAUUUUCUGGGGCUCCAAAAUCACUGCAGAUGGUGACUGCAGCCAUGAAAUUAAAAGACACUUACUCCUUGGAAGGAAAGUUAUGACCAACCUAGACAGAAUAUUAAAAAGCAGAGACAUUACUUUGUCAACAAAGGUCUGUCUAGUCAAGGCUAUGGUUUUUCUAGUGGUCAUGUAUGGAUGUGCAAGUUGGACUAUAAAGAAAGCUGAGUGCUGA
rnacentral:lncRNA from 1 species